rnacentral:rRNA from 1 species
UACGUAGGGUCCGAGCGUUGUCCGGAAUUAUUGGGCGUAAAGGGUGCGUAGGCGGCGCGGUAAGUCGGGUGUGAAAUCUUGGAGCUUAACUCCGAAACUGCAUUCGAUACUGCCGUGCUUGAGGACUGGAGAGGAGACUGGAAUUUACGGUGUAGCGGUGAAAUGCGUAGAUAUCGUAAGGAAGACCAGUGGCGAAGGCGGGUCUCUGGACAGUUCCUGACGCUGAGGCACGAAGGCCAGGGGAGCAAACGGG